rnacentral:rRNA from 1 species
CAGUCGCCACGGUAAUACGGAGGGGGCUAGCGUUGUUCGGAAUUACUGGGCGUAAAGCGCACGUAGGCGGCUUGGUAAGUUAGAGGUGAAAGCCUGGAGCUCAACUCCGGAAUUGCCUUUAAGACUGCCGAGCUAGCAGGUGAGAGAGGUAAGUGGAAUUCCGAGUGUAGAGGUGAAAUUCGUAGAUAUUCGGAAGAACACCAGUGGCGAAGGCGGCUUACUGGCUCAUACUGGACGCUGAGGUGCGAAAGCGUGGGGAGCAAACAGGAUUAGAUACCCCUGUAGUCCCUGUCUCUUAUAC